rnacentral:rRNA from 1 species
GGAGGAAUAUUGGUCAAUGGGGGAAACCCUGAACCAGCGACGCCGCGUGAGCGAUGAAGGCCUUAGGGUCGUAAAGCUCUGUCGUACGGGAAGAUAAUGACGGUACCGUACAAGAAAGGAUCGGCCAACUUCGUGCCAGCAGCCGCGGUAAGACGAGGGAUCCUAGCGUUGUUCGGAAUCACUGGGCGUAAAGCGGAUGUAGGUGGAUUAACAAGUCAGGUGUGAAAUCCCGGGGCUCAACCUCGGAACU